GUAAUUUAACCCAUAAAUAGGAAAUUCCCACUCCAUCGAGGACGUUUUUCCUUCGACCCAUCGGUUUAGCGAUUCCGUCGGAAUCUUCCAGUUUCUUCGCACCCGGCAAUCUCCAUCUACAGGAGAAUAUGGCAACUAGGGGUCAAGGUGGUAUCCAACAAUUGCUUGCAGCAGAGCAAGAA